GUGGUCUUUUUGGCAGCACAUAUAUUAAAAUUAGAAUGAUAGAAGAUUAGCGUGCCCCCCCCACGCCAAUGAUGACAUGCAAAUUUGUGACACAUUCUAUAUUUAA